rnacentral:sRNA from 1 species
AGCAGCCGCGGUAAUUCCAGCUCCAAUAGCGUAUAUUAAAGUUGUUGCAGUUAAAAAGCUCGUAGUUGAAUUUCGGGGUUAGUAGGCUGGUCAUGCCUCCGGUAUGUACUGGUCUUGCUGACUUCUCCUUUCUGAAGAACUGUAAUGCCAUUAAUUUGGUGUUGCAGGGAAUCAGGACUGUUACUUUGAAAAAAUUAGAGUGUUUAAAGCAGGCUAACGCUUGAAUACAUUAGCAUGGAAUAAUGAAAUAGGACGUUCGAUCCUAUUUUGUUGGUUUCUAGGAUUGACGUAAUGAUUAAUAGGGAUAGUUGGGGGCAUUAGUAUUCAAUUGUCAGAGGUGAAAUUCUUGGAUUUAUUGAAGACUAACUACUGCGAAAGCAUUUGCCAAGGAUGUUUUCAUUAAUCAAGAACGAAAGUUAGGGGAUCGAAGACGAUCAGAUACCGUCGUAGUCUUAACCAUAAACUAUGCCGACUAGGGAUCGGAUGAUGUUAAUUUUUUAAUGACUCAUUCGGCGC